AUUUAGCAAAUACGCACGCGUUAGCGAUUGAAGUGGCAUCCUUUUUUGGUUGUUGAGCGUAGCCGAAACACAAAAAAGAUAUAACGGAAAGCGCGACCCAAA
rnacentral:sRNA from 1 species